AACGAGCGCUGGCGGCAGGCUUAACACAUGCAAGUCGAACGGGUGUAGCAAUACAUCAGUGGCAGACGGGUGAGUAACACGUGGGAACCUUCCUAGGGGUACGGAACAACUCAGGGAAACUUGAGCUAAUACCGUAUACGUCCGUGAGGAGAAAGAUUUAUCGCCCUUAGACGGGCCCGCGUCGGAUUAGCGAGUUGGUGGGGUAACGGCCUACCAAGGCGACGAUCCGUAGCUGAUCUUAGAGGAUGAUCAGCCACACGGGGACUGAGACACGGCCCAGACUCCUACGGGAGGCAGCAGUGGGGAAUCUUGGACAAUGGGCGCAAGCCUGAUCCAGCCAUGCCGCGUGAGUGAAGAAGGUCUUCGGAUUGUAAAGCUCUUUUGCCAGGGACGAUAAUGACGGUACCUGGAGAAUAAGCCCCGGCAAACUUCGUGCCAGCCGCCGCGGUAACAC
rnacentral:rRNA from 1 species